UACGAAGGGGGCUAGCGUUGCUCGGAAUCACUGGGCGUAAAGCGCACGUAGGCGGAUUGCUAAGUCAGGGGUGAAAUCCUGGAGCUCAACUCCAGAACUGCCUUUGACACUGGCGACCUUGAGUCCGGGAGAGGUGAGUGGAACUGCGAGUGUAGAGGUGAAAUUCGUAGAUAUUCGCAAGAACACCAGUGGCGAAGGCGGCUCACUGGCCCGGUACUGACGCUGAGGUGCGAAAGCGUGGGGAGCAAACAGG
rnacentral:rRNA from 1 species